GAUGAACGCUGGCGGCGUGCCUAAUACAUGCAAGUCGAGCGAACGGAUGAGAAGCUUGCUUCUCUGAUGUUAGCGGCGGACGGGUGAGUAACACGUGGAUAACCUACCUAUAAGACUGGGAUAACUUCGGGAAACCGGAGCUAAUACCGGAUAAUAUUUUGAACCGCAUGGUUCAAAAGUGAAAGACGGUCUUGCUGUCACUUAUAGAUGGAUCCGCGCUGCAUUAGCUAGUUGGUAAGGUAACGGCUUACCAAGGCAACGAUGCAUAGCCGACCUGAGAGGGUGAUCGGCCACACUGGAACUGAGACACGGUCCAGACUCCUACGGGAGGCAGCAGUAGGGAAUCUUCCGCAAUGGGCGAAAGCCUGACGGAGCAACGCCGCGUGAGUGAUGAAGGUCUUCGGAUCGUAAAACUCUGUUAUUAGGGAAGAACAUAUGUGUAAGUAACUGUGCACAUCUUGACGGUACCUAAUCAGAAAGCCACGGCUAACUACGUG
rnacentral:rRNA from 1 species